AUGUUAAUUUACCAGCCCAUUGAAAAUCGUCAAAAUUUGAAAUCGAGAGGGGUGGGGAGUCCCCUAAAAGAAAUUUGGCUCAAUGAUUGAUUUCGAUGGAAACUCCGGGUCAAAUAGCUACAUUUUGAUGAUACAGUGCGCUUUCAUGGAACUCAAAUUAUUUUUCUGUUCUCUCAAUUACCAUAAUUUUGGUUACUUAAGGAGUGAGGUUUGAAAGAAGGAAGAAGUGUCAUAAGUCGAGUUACGGAGUCACUAAAUACUUCUGGCUAGUCACUUUAGUGUUUUCAAGGACGUCAAAGGCAAAUUACCGCGAUUGCAGUUACACAAUAACAUCUGGAAGCGAUCUAAUAUUGCACAAUUUAAGUAUACUUUAAGAUCGAGAGCAAUUGUUCGUAUAUGAAGAUGAAAAAAUAGCGAGAGGAUAGAAUAAUAAGAACAUCGUCGAAGUCGAAAUUGUGUGGCAGGAUACACGAUAUAGGCUGCGUUGUCCCGUUUUGGACUGUCAUUGUAGCUGAUUUAGAUACCAAUGAACACUAUUAUAUAGAAGAAAUCAAGUUCAAGGCGUUUCGAUGAUGAAUUUCCGAGUUUGAAAUGUUACUUUCAUAACUUUAAAAUAUUGAAAAAUGCUUUACUUAA